AACGAACGCUGGCGGCAUGCCUAACACAUGCAAGUCGAACGAGACCUUCGGGUCUAGUGGCGCACGGGUGCGUAACGCGUGGGAAUCUACCCUUGGGUUCGGAAUAACAGUUAGAAAUGACUGCUAAUACCGGAUGAUGACGUAAGUCCAAAGAUUUAUCGCCCAAGGAUGAGCCCGCGUAAGAUUAGCUUGUUGGUGGGGUAAUGGCCUACCAAGGCGACGAUCUUUAGCUGGUCUGAGAGGAUGAUCAGCCACACUGGGACCGAGACACGGCCCAGACUCCUACGGGAGGCAGCAGUGGGGAAUAUUGGACAAUGGGCGAAAGCCUGAUCCAGCAAUGCCGCGUGAGUGAUGAAGGCCUUAGGGUUGUAAAGCUCUUUUACCAGGGAUGAUAAUGACAGUACCUGGAGAAUAAGCUCCGGCUAACUCCGUGCCAGCCGCCGCAGUAA
rnacentral:rRNA from 1 species